rnacentral:rRNA from 1 species
UACGGAGGGUGCAAGCGUUAUCCGGAUUCACUGGGUUUAAAGGGUGCGUAGGCGGGCAGGUAAGUCCGUGGUGAAAUCUCCAAGCUUAACUUGGAAACUGCCGUGGAUACUAUUUGUCUUGAAUAUAGUGGAGGUGAGCGGAAUAUGUCAUGUAGCGGUGAAAUACUUAGAUAUGACAUAGAACACCCAUUGCGAAGGCAGCUCGCUACACUAUUAUUGACGCUGAGGCACGAAAGCGUGGGGAUCAAACAGG